GUAUUUGAUUUUAAAAUCAAAAUUUAGGCAAAAUUAAAGCGAGUUGGAAAAAAACCGCCGGCUCGUCCUCCGCGAAGGAAUACACCGACGGCCUUGUUCGAUGAGUGCACAUAAGGACGAAUCGUGGUCCAUCGGACGCCCAAGGGGCGAACGACGGUUAACCUUGUAAUGAUCCUUCCGCAGGUUCACCUACGGAAA
rnacentral:misc_RNA from 1 species